CUUAAACCCCAAGAUAUCUUGUGAGGUUUCAGCUGUCAACAUUUACAGUCCUUUGGGCAGAGCACCCACAGGUGUAGCCAGAACAAAAAACCUAAAGGAAAGAGGCAGAGCUACAUUUUCUUGCUGAUGGCGCAGGUUCUCUUCGUUGUAAAACUUGGACACCGUAAGGGGAGGGGGAAGCGCUUCUGCUGACCCUCUGAUCCGGCCAGACCUUGGAAUGAAGGCAUGGCACUGAAGACAGGGCUUCUGGAGGAGACCUCAUACGAGCUUGGUAAAUUGGUUUCCAAAAUCAAUAGGCUGCGAAAAUUCUAUCUGGCCUGCAGAAUUUGCUUCAAGCCCCCUCACAUUCAUCAAUGCCAUCCCUGCUUAGGCACUCUCCCUCUUUUUUUGGCUUCCAUAGCACUUGGCAAAAAGUCUGUGGGCAUUUGAUUCUGGCAGGUUGAAUCAGAGACCUCCUGCAAAUAUAGGGCCCCAACAAAAGUAAGCCACAAGGAAAGGCUGAGUGGCCUUAUUUUUGGGGGGACCAUGGCCUGCAGGCCAUGUUGCCACGGUUUCAUUAAAUGACUAAGACCCUUCUUGUCACUCUGUGGGUAUGGCCCGUUGGCCUUUGUAUACUUACUCUAUAAGCUUGUGUUUUAGAAGAAAGCUUCUAAAGGUCUUUUCUUCCAAGAAAUUUUUUUAUCUAAGUCAAGCCAACCCUGGACAUAUAAUCAAAUGAAACAUUUACUGAUAAUAAAUAAUAAAUAGAGAGCUUUAUUUUAAAACCAUUCUUUGUCAAACAUUUUUGCCAUUUAUUAAAGAUUUUUAUUAUUUA